rnacentral:tRNA from 3 species
GCCCGAGUAGCUCAGUUGGCAGAGCAGCUGUCUUGUAAACAGCAGGUCGCAGGUUCGACUCCUGUCUCGGGCU